CGGAUAUCUCGGCUCUCGCAUCGAUGAAGAACGUAGCGAAAUGCGAUACCUGGUGUGAAUUGCAGAAUCCCGCGAACCAUCGAGUCUUUGAACGCAAGUUGCGCCCGAGGCCUUCUGGCCGAGGGCACGCCUGCCUGGGCGUCACGCCAAACACGCUCCCUCCU
rnacentral:rRNA from 1 species